rnacentral:rRNA from 1 species
GUCUAUGACUAUACCAGACUGAAUGCACCUGAUCUUGUCUGAUCUUGGAAGCUAAGCAGGGUCAGGCCUGGUUAAUACUUGGAUGAGAGACAGCAUGGAAAAGACACCGUCAAUAAGACA